rnacentral:ribozyme from 1 species
GAGGGACAAGAAUCUGACCUGCACCUCCUCGUGGUGUCCCUCGGAAACGUGCUCAACGCGCGGCCGACGCAGGCAG